GGUUAAGCGACUAAGCGUACACGGUGGAUGCCCUGGCAGUCAGAGGCGAUGAAGGACGUGCUAAUCUGCGAUAAGCGCCGGUAAGGUGAUAUGAACCGUUAUAACCGGCGAUUUCCGAAUGGGGAAACCCAGUGUGAUUCGUCACACUAUCAUUAACUGAAUCCAUAGGUUAAUGAGGCGAACCGGGGGAACUGAAACAUCUAAGUACCCCGAGGAAAAGAAAUCAACCGAGAUUCCCCCAGUAGCGGCGAGCGAACGGGGAGGAGCCCAGAGCCUGAAUCAGCAUGUGUGUUAGUGGAAGCGUCUGGAAAGGCGCGCGAUACAGGGUGACAGCCCCGUACACAAAAGCGCAUGUGCUGUGAGCUCGAUGAGUAGGGCGGGACACGUGGUAUCCUGUCUGAAUAUGGGGGGACCAUCCUCCAAGGCUAAAUACUCCUGACUGACCGAUAGUGAACCAGUACCGUGAGGGAAAGGCGAAAAGAACCCCGGCGAGGGGAGUGAAAAAGAACCUGAAACCGUGUACGUACAAGCAGUGGGAGCACAGGUUUACCUGUGUGACUGCGUACCUUUUGUAUAAUGGGUCAGCGACUUAUAUUCUGUAGCAAGGUUAACCGCAUAGGGGAGCCGGAGGGAAACCGAGUCUUAAUUGGGCGUUAAGUUGCAGGGUAUAGACCCGAAACCCGGUGAUCUAGCCAUGGGCAGGUUGAAGGUUGGGUAACACUAACUGGAGGACCGAACCGACUAAUGUUGAAAAAUUAGCGGAUGACCUGUGGCUGGGGGUGAAAGGCCAAUCAAACCGGGAGAUAGCUGGUUCUCCCCGAAAGCUAUUUAGGUAGCGCCUCGUGAAUUCAUCUCCGGGGGUAGAGCACUGUUUCGGCUAGGGGGCCAUCCCGGCUUACCAACCCGAUGCAAACUGCGAAUACCGGAGAAUGUUAUCACGGGAGACACACGGCGGGUGCUAACGUCCGUCGUGAAGAGGGAAACAACCCAGACCGCCAGCUAAGGUCCCAAAGUCAUGGUUAAGUGGGAAACGAUGUGGGAAGGCCCAGACAGCCAGGAUGUUGGCUUAGAAGCAGCCAUCAUUUAAAGAAAGCGUAAUAGCUCACUGGUCGAGUCGGCCUGCGCGGAAGAUGUAACGGGGCUAAACCAUGCACCGAAGCUGCGGCAGCGAACGUAUCACUUAAAGCGAUUCAGCGGGUUACGAUUGACGGAGCGAAGCGACGUCAAAGCGUAUACAAAGUCGAGUCGGUUUAAGGAUACGUUCGUUGGGUAGGGGAGCGUUCUGUAAGCCUGUGAAGGUGGCCUGUGAGGGUUGCUGGAGGUAUCAGAAGUGCGAAUGCUGACAUAAGUAACGAUAAAGCGGGUGAAAAGCCCGCUCGCCGGAAGACCAAGGGUUCCUGUCCAACGUUAAUCGGGGCAGGGUGAGUCGACCCCUAAGGCGAGGCCGAAAGGCGUAGUCGAUGGGAAACGGGUUAAUAUUCCCGUACUUGGUGUUACUGCGAAGGGGGGACGGAGAAGGCUAUGUUGGCCGGGCGACGGUUGUCCCGGUUUAAGCGUGUAGGUGUGUGUUCCAGGUAAAUCCGGUUCACUUUAACACUGAGGCGUGACGACGAGGCACUACGGUGCUGAAGCAACAAAUGCCCUGCUUCCAGGAAAAGCCUCUAAGCAUCAGGUAACAUCAAAUCGUACCCCAAACCGACACAGGUGGUCAGGUAGAGAAUACCAAGGCGCUUGAGAGAACUCGGGUGAAGGAACUAGGCAAAAUGGUGCCGUAACUUCGGGAGAAGGCACGCUGACACGUAGGUGAAGUGAUUUACUCAUGGAGCUGAAGUCAGUCGAAGAUACCAGCUGGCUGCAACUGUUUAUUAAAAACACAGCACUGUGCAAACACGAAAGUGGACGUAUACGGUGUGACGCCUGCCCGGUGCCGGAAGGUUAAUUGAUGGGGUCAGCGCAAGCGAAGCUCCUGAUCGAAGCCCCGGUAAACGGCGGCCGUAACUAUAACGGUCCUAAGGUAGCGAAAUUCCUUGUCGGGUAAGUUCCGACCUGCACGAAUGGCGUAAUGAUGGCCAGGCUGUCUCCACCCGAGACUCAGUGAAAUUGAACUCGCUGUGAAGAUGCAGUGUACCCGCGGCAAGACGGAAAGACCCCGUGAACCUUUACUAUAGCUUGACACUGAACAUUGAGCCUUGAUGUGUAG
rnacentral:rRNA from 1 species